CCGCCCUCCGCCCUCGUGAUGAGUUCUGAAGAUCAAUUCAGGCUAUGGUUGUGCUGGGACCAACGUCCUUGGAGGGGGCUUUGGCCAUAUUGCUAAACCUUUUGCAAGUUCUUCUCCGGCUAGCUACAUCAAAUAUCUGUGGAUCUUCUUCAAGCCUCAAAGCUGAUGCGCUGGUGUCGACAGGACUGGCUGAAUUGGGCUACAACUAUUUAAAUAUUGGUAUACCACUUGGCUCAA